AGCAGUACCUGGCAUUGAAUGAUAUUUUUGACUAUAUGAGCAAAGUUUUAGUAUUGCUUCUCAGACCCUCUAUUUAUAAUGAAAAAAAGAACAACAAAAUAUUUAGCAUUACUAUUUGGGGACUGAAGUUAUUAAGUUAUUACAUACUAAUUUUAAUAAUAAAUUAAAUUAGCAAUAUAAAUAUAUAAGGUAAAACAAAGUGAGCCUGUUUUUAAUUCAUUAUUUUGAGCCCUUAAUUUUCUUUUUUGCAACUAAAACUGGUAGUUUUAGUUGAAUCAUACUCUUGUCUUUAUUUGGUCAUUCUGCAGUAAUGUUUUUUGCACAAGGAUCUUAACAGAGCCAUGAAGAACUUGAGUAUCUUUUUGACUUUCUGUUUUUGAUUAGAUUUCUUCAAGGACAUGUUCUUCCAAACCUGUCCAGCUCAGAGAAUUUACAUGGAGUGCUGUAAUCUUGAGGACAGUAAAUACCCGUGGUAGCUGGCGUUAGUCACAGGAUGGUGCAUUUUAAGGGAUGAAACAUUUUGUGUCUCUAGAUAGCUUCACAAAGGUGGCUUAGAUCAGUGUUCCUUAAACUUUAUUGUAGGCGUCUUCCUCCUUCUCCUACUGCAGGGCCAGAGUCCCUGAGGGAGUCCAGCUGUGUUUAAGUCUGGCGGGUGCCACCUGUCUCUGCCAUGCCCCCCAAGAAACAGGCUCAGGCUGGGGGCAGCAAAAAGGCGGAGCAGAAAAAGGAGAAGAUUAUCGAAGACAAAACUUCUGAUCUAAAGAAUAAGAAAGGAGCAAAGCAACAGAAGUUUAUCAAGGCUGUCACUUAUCAAGUUAAACUUGGUCAACAAAAUCCACUUUAGGUAGCAUAAAGUGAAGCUGAAAAGAAGUUGAAGAAAGAUGACAAGAAGAAGGAAUUGCAAGAGCUAAAUGAGUUGUUCAAACCUGUAGUUGCCGCUCAAAAAAUAAGUAAAGGUGCAGAUCCCAAAUCCAUGGUAUGUGCAUUCUUCAAGUAAGGACAGUGUACUAAAGGAGAUAAGUGUAAGUUCUCUCUUGACUUGACUCUGGAGACAAAAUGUGAAAGGCGAAGUGUUUACAUUGAUGCAAGAGAUUAAGAGCUUGAUAAAGAUACUAUGGACAAUUGGGAUGAGAAAAAACUGGAAGAAGUAGUAAACAAGCAGCACGGUGAGGUGGAAAAGAAAAAAACAAAAACUCAAAUAGUGUGCAAGCAUUUCCUUGAAGCUAUUGAAAACAACAAAUAUGGCUGGUUUGGGGUAUGCCCUAGAGGGGGUAAUAUUUGCAUGUAUCAUCAUGCACUUUCUCCUGAGUUUGUCUUUAAAAAAGAUAAAAAGAAGAAAAAGAAGAUGAAAUUUCAUUAGAAGAUCUAAUUGAAAGAGAGCAUUCUGCCGUAGGUCCAAAUGUUAACAAAGUUACAUUAGAAUCUUUUCUUGCAUGGAAGAAGAGAAAAAGACAAGAAAAGAUUGAUAAACUUGAGCAAGAUAUAGAAACAAGGAAAGCAGACUUCAAAGCAGGGAAAGCAUUAGUGAUUAGUGGUUGUGAGGUGUUUGAAUUUCGUUCUGAACUGGUUGACGAUGAGGAGGAGGAAGCUGAUGAUACCUUUUAUACCCAGGGAACAGGUGGUGAUGAGGUUGAUGAUUCAGUAAGCAUAAAUGACAUAGAUUUAAGCCUGUACAUCCCAAGAGAUGUAGAUGAGACAGGUAUUACUGUAGCCAGUCUUGAAAGAUUCAGCACAUAUACUUCAGAAAAGGAUGAAAACAAAUUAAGUGAAGCUUCCGGAGGUAGGGCUGAAAAUGGUGAAAGAAGUGAUUUGGAAGAGGACAACGAAAGGGAGGGACAGGAAAAUGGAGCCAUUGAUUCUGUUCCUGUUGACGGAAGUCUUCUUACUGGGGAAGAUUUGGAUGAACUAGAAGAAGAAUUAAACACACUUGAUUUAGAAGAAUGACACCAAACAAGUCAAUGAAAAAAUUAAGCCAGCUCAGCAUGAGUUGAAAUUGACUACAUUAAUUUUUUUCCACCUAGAAUUCAACAGGAUGUUUGUUUCCCAUGCUGAUUCUGGAGGGCUUACUCUCCCCCCAAAAAGGAAUAUUCUCCCUACAUCUUGUCUUCUGACUUUGGCUACAUCUCAUAGUAAGUUCAGAGUAGUUCAUGAUAAAUUAAAAAUAUAAUGGUCAUUGCAGAAAAUGAUUGAUUAUUUUAACUGUCCACUCAAGUAGGAAGUGUAACUGCUUUUCCAGCUUUUGAUUUUCAUUGGGUAUGUGUUAUUAGAAGGACAACAUAAAUUUAAAUUACCCUUCAUUUAAUGCAGUUUUUAAUGAGUGAUUUUCUUUCCUUUGUAUUUAUAUGUUCAAAAGGCUGCCUAAGAUAUGAGCCUGUACUUCAUAAAGGAAACUGUGUAUGCAGAUUCAGUAUUGUAUAUCUUUGGACAAUUAGAUGGACAUUUAAAAUGAAACUUCAUUAGUCUGCCAGGAUCAGCUGCAAUGCCCUGUGUUAAACUGUUUUAAACUAUUCCUUUUCUUUUUUGCCAAUAAAGUUGUAAAUAAAGACCUUGAUACAUUGAAAUCCAAAAAAA